ensembl:lncRNA
AUGAUGCGCUUGAAACAACACGGAGUCACAGCGUGCAACACUCUGCAUAGAAAAGUUCAAAGCACAAAGUGAAGAGAUAUUGAUGAGCAGUGUAUUAAAUAUGUGUGUUAGUUUAUUGAGCCUUUUCUUUUAACAGUUUAAAAUUUCAGUCACUGUGCUCGUGACGAACAAUUCAUAGUGCUCUCUACUCCAGUCCUGUGAUCUAACCAGAUAUGAAAUAGAAAUUUACACGAAACUCCAGCAAGAUAAAUUCAUUUUAUGCUAAACAUUUUUUUUUUUUACAGAUCAAGUAUAACAUAAGGAACAUUUAAUCAUCUUGGAGAGAGUUUCAUCUUCUUGACUGUCGUAAACGAAUGCAAUGCGCAGUUUGAAUGCUGAAUGGAGGAAGACUGACAGCUGCAGUGGAGAGAAGAGUUGACGUGAACUUGACUUAAAUAUUUACCUGUACCUCACAUUAAACUGUGAAAUGGCUUCAGAAAACUUCAAAUAUAGUGCACAAAACUUUAUUGUAGUUGAUAAUGUUUAUGUCGCUUUCGUGGUGCUUAAUAAUAACACAGAAUAGUAUUCACACUAUAUCGGAUUUGGAUCGCUCUCGUCUGAUCAAUACCCUGAUCUGGCAAAAAAAUGCCAUUAUCGAAGCGAUACUGCUACUGAAUAACGGAUCGGCGCAGCCCUAGUGUAAAUGUGAAUUUACAUGUGUGUAAUGUCAAGAUGCUGCUGCUGUGUUGGAGCGACGAGACGAGGGAGAAUUUCACAAGGAACUGACUUUACCACAUCGAAGGAACACAUACAGCAGGGGGAAUAGACGUUUAGGACAGCAUGCAGGACUCGGGAAACACAGAGCUUAAAUACACAUGGAAGGAAAUCUGGGAAAACUGAAACCGGUGGAGGAAUAAAUAAAAAAACAUGGAAAAUAAUGAGGGAACACCUGGAAUCAAUAAACAUAAUUGAACAUGAGUGAAAACUGGGUCAUGGAAAGCAUGUGGGGGAGGAAAACACAGAACACAGGACUGACAUUACUACCCCUCCCGGAAGGUGCGUCCGGAGGCCAUGGCGGAGCAGACACUUCAGUAGGCCAUGGCGGCCUCCACGGACGGACCCCUACUACCCCCCAAAAAAAAUCCUUGGGGAAAAUGUCAGUUUCUGAGGUCCUCCGUAGACCUAACUCGGGAACUGUGGCCCUCCCUGGGCUGGACGUGGGAACAGGAACCUUCCUUGGGCUGGACAUGAGGACAGGAGCCCUUUCUGUGCUGAACUCAGGGCCUGGAAUCCUUUCUGGGGUAAAAUUGGGGACUGGAGCCCUCUCUGGGUUAAACUCAGGUACUGGUGGGCUUAACUCUGGAACGGCCGGUGGGCUGGUUCUAGCUCGGGGCAGGACGCACUCCAGAUACCAGAGGAUCCCUUACCUUCCAGUGUAGUCCUCUGGUGUCUGGGAGAUCCAUGGGGCGAUGAUAAUUGGCCCCAUGCCAGAACAGAGAGUCGAUGGAGGUGUCAUCCAAUGCAGUCGCUGCGGCAAGCCCACAGAACUCCCAGGCAUACUUGACAAAGGGGAGGUCUUUACGGGCUAGCACGAUGAAGCAUGCAGCAAUCUCCAUAAUCGGGGGGGGGGGGACAUGGAAAACAAAACCACUUUCAAAAAACCUAAAGCAAAAAUAUGUUGCUGCUGUUUUGGAGUGAGGAGACAAGGGAAAAUUUCACAAGGAACUGACUUUAUUUACCACAUCAGAGGAACACACACAGAUGCAGGGGGAAUAGACGUUUAAGACAGCACGCAGGACUCAGAGAAACACAGGGCUUAAAUACACAUGGAAGGUAAUCUGGGAAAACUGAAAUCGAGUAAUAAAUCAAAAACCAUGAAAACGAAUAAGGGAACA